AUUGAACGCUGGCGGCAUGCCUUACACAUGCAAGUCGAACGGUAACGCGGGGCAACCUGGCGACGAGUGGCGAACGGGUGAGUAAUGCAUCGGAACGUGCCCAGUAGUGGGGGAUAGCCCGGCGAAAGCCGGAUUAAUACCGCAUACGACCUACGGGUGAAAGCGGGGGACCGUAAGGCCUCGCGCUAUUGGAGCGGCCGAUGUCAGAUUAGGUUGUUGGUGGGGUAAAGGCCUACCAAGCCGACGAUCUGUAGCUGGUCUGAGAGGACGACCGGGAACACUGGGACUGAGACACGGACCAGACGCCUACGGGAGGCAGCAGUGGGGAAUUUUGGACAAUGGGGGCAACCCUGAUCCAGCCAUGCCGCGUGCGGGAAGAAGGCCUUCGGGUUGUAAACCGCUUUUGUCAGGGAAGAAACGCUCCGAGCUAAUACCUUGGGGUAAUGACGGUACCUGAAGAAUAAGCACCGGCUAACUACGUGCCAGCCGCCGCCGUAAGAC
rnacentral:rRNA from 1 species